rnacentral:rRNA from 1 species
CCUACGGGGAGGCAGCAGUGGGGAAUUUUGGACAAUGGGCGCAAGCCUGAUCCAGCCAUGCCGCGUGAGUGAAGAAGGCCUUCGGGUUGUAAAGCUCUUUCGGUAGGAACGAAAUGGUUCGUGCUAAUACCACGGACUGAUGACGGUACCUGAAGAAGAAGCACCGGCUAACUACGUGCCAGCAGCCGCGGUAAUACGUAGGGUGCAGGCGUUAAUCGGAAUUACUGGGCGUAAAGCGUGCGCAGGCGGUUUCUUAAGUCAGAUGUGAAAGCCCCGGGCUUAACCUGGGAACUGCGUUUGAAACUGGGAGACUAGAGUGUGGCAGAGGGGGGUGGAAUUCCGACGUGUAGCAGUGAAAUGCGUAGAUAUGUGGAGGAACACCGGAUGGCGAAGGCAGCCCCCUGGGUUAACACUGACGCUCAUGCACGAAAGCGUGGGGAGCAAACNGGAUUAGAUACCCUGGUAGUCCACGCCCUAAACUAUGUCAACUGGUUGUCGGGGGAUUAGCUCCCUUGGUAACGAGCUAACGCGUGAAGUUGACCGCCUGGGGAGUACGGCCGCAAGGUUAAAACCNCAAAGGAAUUGACGGCUGAG